rnacentral:rRNA from 1 species
AUUGAACGCUGGCGGCGGGCCUAACACAUGCAAGUCGAGCGGAGGAGCGGACGGGGGAGUGAUGCCUAGGAAUCUGACUGGGAGUGGGGGAUAACGACCGGAAAAGGGCGCUAAUACCGAAUACUUGCAGAUGAGCAUAGGUCGGAUUAGCUAGUUGGUGGGGUAAAGGCCUACCGAGGCGACGGUCCAUAACUGGUCUGUGGGGAUGCUCAGUCACACUGGAACUGAGACACGGUCCAGACUCCUACGGGAGGCCGCAGUGGGGAAUAUUGGACAAUGGGCGCAAGCCUGAUGCAGCCAUGCCGCGUGUGUGACGAAGGUCUUCGGAUUGUAAAGCACUUUAAGCUGGGAGGCGUUACCAACAGAAGAAGCACCGGCUAACUUCGUGCCAGCCGCCGCGGUAAUUC